rfam:Thermincola sp. JR, complete genome.
AACACCCUACUAUGUUCGUGAAAGCCGAUUAGUAUUGAGCCAACACCAAUACUAAGGGAGCCUAACUCUGUCUGUGGCUUGUAUGCCUCCUUCGAGUGGACACAAAAAGCAGGCAGGAGGGCACCCACCUGUGAGAGACAGGUUCAAUUUACAGCGGCUCACGACAUGUGUGGGGUUAUU